rnacentral:sRNA from 1 species
UCAGAGCUACUAUUGUUGUGAGUUAGAUC